UGCAACAACGAAGAACCUUAUUAUGGUCUUGACAUGAUCGAGAACUUUCCAGAGAUGAUAUUGGUUUCCUUCGGGAAGUGCAACAUGAGGUGGUGGUAUGGUGGUCGUCGUGCAGCGUGUCGUGAGAUGAUGGGUUAAGUAGUCGCAACGAGCGCAACAACUUGUUGAUUAGUUGCCAGCUCGUAAUGGUGGGAACUCUAAGGGUGACCGCCGGUGACAAACCGGAGGAAGGUGGGGAUGACGUCAAGUCAUCAUGGCCCUUAAUGACCAGGGCUACACACGUACUACAAUGGUAGGGACAGAGGGCUGCAAACCCGCGAGGGCAAGCCAAUCCCAGAAACCCUUUCUCAGUUCGGAUUGGAGUCUGCAACUCGACUCCAUGAAGUUGGAAUCGCUAGUAAUCGCGGAUCAGCAUUGCUGCGGGGAAAAGGUUCCCGGCCCUGGAACACCCCCCCGGUCACACCAUGGGAGUUUUAAGCACCAGAAUCAGG
rnacentral:rRNA from 1 species